rnacentral:lncRNA from 1 species
AUGCACAAUCGACUUCAUCACUCUCACUGAGUACAAAUCCAAGAUCAUCGUCGACAACCCAUCUCGGGCUGGCCUCCCUAAUCCGACAAUUAUGACCGGCACCGAUUCAUACCAACAGUUGACACUAAGUUAUGGAUCCUUUUUCUCGUCGUGGUCGUCGUCCACUGCUUCCGCCCAGGUUUGGUGGGAUUGAAAAAGUCCCAACAUGCUUGAAUCGUGAACUGGCUGAAAGGAAGCAUGAAAUUAUACCUCUUGACAGGUGACAUACGGAACUUCACUAAUGUGUUGUUGCGAUUAAACAUUUUGUAACGGGAAACUUACCUUGCUCUAUUUUACUUUAAGGGUUAUUUUUUUGUCUCUGUGUAUCGGCUUUGAUAGGCAUGGGAGAAUUAACAUGCCUGAUGCAUUCUUUAUCCGACAAUCAUGUAAGUUUUGAUAAAUUAAGGGUUUUUGUUAUUCAGUACCAAAUGUCCGAUGAAUUGAGUUUGUUUGAAGCAUGUUUUAUUGUAAUGUUCGUGGUUUUGGAUUGGUUGAGUACGGUUUGGGGUGUUGUUUGGAUCGUAUUUUGUAGGGAAACAAUGUACAUGCUCUUGGGGAUUCAGCCGACCCAUGGGGGUGCUUUUUUUAGGGAAUCGAAAUUAGUGAAAGAAGGAAUUGGAAUUAUUUCCACUAGAAAAUUAUGAGGUCUUUGGUUUAUAUAUUGUUCAAGGAAUUUGGUGAAAGCAUUAAGGAGUUUAUUAAUGAAGAAAUUGGUGAUGGCAUCUAUACUUUUUUCCCUGCUUUGUGGACAAAGUAAAAGGUCUAGACUGGGGGUCAUGUACAUGGUGAAAAUCUAAUCCUAACUAGCAAGAGUUUGCAGAAGUCAAGAUCCAUGUAUAGUUUCGUCGAUUGCCUGUGUUGUUCAUAGUUUCAUAACGGCAUUAAUACUACACUUGUCUAAGACGCGUUUGUAGAUCUCAAACAAAUCACUCAUUUAUGUUUCUUC